AGCAGUCGCCGCGGUAAUACGAAGGGGGCUAGCGUUGUUCGGAUUUACUGGGCGUAAAGCGCACGUAGGCGGAUCGAUCAGUCAGGGGUGAAAUCCCAGAGCUCAACUCUGGAACUGCCUUUGAUACUGUCGAUCUGGAGUAUGGAAGAGGUGAGUGGAAUUCCGAGUGUAGAGGUGAAAUUCGUAGAUAUUCGGAAGAACACCAGUGGCGAAGGCGGCUCACUGGACGACUGUUGACGCUGAGGUGCGAAAGCGUGGGGAGCAAACAGGAUUAGAUACCCCCGUAGUCCCUGUCUCUUAUAC
rnacentral:rRNA from 1 species